rfam:Ciona savignyi cont_15593, whole genome shotgun sequence.
UCCUCGUUAGUAUAGUGGUGAGUAUCCCCGCCUGUCACGCGGGCUACCGGGGUUCGAUUCCCCCACGGGGAG